CUAAUUCCAUCCACCCUCCUCUCCCUAGGAGGCCUACUAUUCCCUUUACUCUCAGACCCAGGCAGAUGGAGCAGCCACUAUUGAGAACUUGUCUGUUCUCUUCGGCUGAUUAAAAACAGAGAGAGAGAUUGGUGGAGGAUGAUAAAUUGAGUACUGGCCAUUAUCACUCAUAUUCCAUUGUCCAAAGUAAGUCUCAUGACAACACCUAACAUGAAAUCAAUUGAAAAGAAAAUUUUAAGAUGUGCAUCAAAGAGAAUCAGACCAUUCUUGAAGAGUAUUAAUGCCUACCACUAAGAUUUUUAAUCUGAGCACAUGUAAAUCAUGGGAUAGAUGAAGUUACAGAGACAUUCUAAAUGAGAACAAGCUUUGGAACUCAGAUAGAAGUUCUGAUUCAUUUUUCUGGUGAAAUUUUGAAAAUUUUCAAUUUCCCAUAACCACUUACAGAUAGUAGUUUGCAAAAAUAAAUCAAUAAAAUAGAGAAAAGAACUUAAGUUUUCUUUGGAGUAUUUUUUUUCUCCUAUCUUUUAUUUUAGUCCAGGAGUCCCAGAUAUCUCAGUCAUGAUAUUGAACACUAAAUAUGUUCUGAGUCACCAAAUGUUCUUGGCCACAUGUGAGAAACUUAUAGCCAAUUAAUUGUAGAAGAUAAGUUUAUAGAAGAUAUAGGAAGUGUUUCCAAGAGAUCUUCUGUGAAAAACUAAUAUAUUUUACUAUUUAAUUUUUCAAACAUUUAUGACUUUGAUUCAUCAUCUAUGCUGUGAUUACAAAAAUUUUUGGGAAAUAAAAAUUAUAUUACUGGGAUACAAAUAAGACACACUUAAAAAUAUUUUGUAAGAAAAGAAAUAAUGAACACACCCAUUCCUAGUGGAUGGAUUUGCCUUCUAAAUAGGGGUAAACUGUUAUUACAGAACCCAAACAUGAAUUAAAAUUAACAAACAAAACAAAAAAUAACCUUACAAACAAAAAAUACAUAAGCUUCUGAGGGAAACAGUAGACUUAAUGUAAUUAAGAAUCAUUAAUCUGAUUCAGAAAUAGGUUAGAAGAGCAAUUUUAUAUGCAAACAUACACAGAAAAAUAACUACAUGGCAUUCUCCCCUUUAUUGUGAUUUAUAUCAUUUCACAAGUUAGUUUCAUCUCUAUUAUUAAGGACUUACCAUAAUCUGUAUGGGAAAGUACUAUUCUCCCAUUUUAUUACUGAGAUUGUUACAAAUAUUUGCAUAUUGUAAGGACAGAGUUAUAGAGAUGUGCAAUUUUAGUUUAAUUAGUUGAGUUUCAUUUUAAUUCAGUUUUGUUAAAGAACAAAAUUAAUGUUUUCCUACUUUUAUGUGGAAUGGCAUGUGUGGGCUUUCAGAUUGUGGUGAUAUUUCCCUUGGAAUUAUUUUUUUCUUUUUUGUUUGUUUUUGACACUCCCCCAUUUGGACUAAAUCUCCUUGGAAUUCUUUACGUAUAGAUUAGUGAAAAGGUCCUGAGGCUGCUUUUGAUUUGAGACAGGUUUUGUUGACUGAUAUAUUUAUAUGACUAGAUCUAUAAACUUUUCAAAAUUUGUAUAAAUGUAAGGGUCUCAAGUGCAAUUUUGUUGCAUGGAUAUAUUGUGCAGUGGUGAUGUCUAGGCAUUUAGUGUAUCCAUCACCCAAAUA
rnacentral:lncRNA from 1 species